rnacentral:rRNA from 1 species
ACGGGAGGCAGCAGUAGGGAAUCUUCCGCAAUGGACGAAAGUCUGACGGAGCAACGCCGCGUGAGUGAAGAAGGAUUUCGGUUUGUAAAACUCUGUUGUUAGGGAAGAAUGAUUGUAUAGUAACUAUAUACAGUAGAGACGGUACCUAACCAGAAAGCCACGGCUAACUACGUGCCAGCAGCCGCGGUAAUACGUAGGUGGCAAGCGUUGUCCGGAAUUAUUGGGCGUAAAGCGCGCGCAGGUGGUUUAAUAAGUCUGAUGUGAAAGCCCACGGCUCAACCGUGGAGGGUCAUUGGAAACUGUUAAACUUGAGUGCAGGAGAGAAAAGUGGAAUUCCUAGUGUAGCGGUGAAAUGCGUAGAGAUUAGGAGGAACACCAGUGGCGAAGGCGGCUUUUUGGCCUGUAACUGACACUGAGGCGCGAAAGCGUGGGGAGCAAACAGGAUUAGAUACCCUGGUA